rnacentral:rRNA from 1 species
UACGGGGGGGGCAAGCGUUGUUCGGAAUUACUGGGCGUAAAGGGCUCGUAGGUGGCCAACUAAGUCAGACGUGAAAUCCCUCGGCUUAACCGGGGAACUGCGUCUGAUACUGGAUGGCUAGAGUUUGGGAGAGGGAUGCGGAAUUCCAGGUGUAGCGGUGAAAUGCGUAGAUAUCAAGUGGAACACCAGUGGCGAAGGCGAGUCCCUGGACAACUCCUGACACUGAGGCACGAAAGCUAGGGGAGCAAACAGG